rnacentral:rRNA from 1 species
GCACAAGCGGAGGAACAUGUGGUUAAUUCGAUGAUACGCGAGGAACCUUACCUGGGCUUAAAUGUAGAGUGCAUUUUCUAGAGAUAGGAAUUCCCUUCGGGGCUUUCUGCAAGGUGCUGCAUGGUUGUCGUCAGCUCGUGCCGUGAGGUGUCGGGUUAAGUCCCAUAACGAGCGCAACCCUUAUCGUUAGUUGCCAUCUGGUAAAGCAGGGGACUCUAGCGAAACUGCCACCGUAAGGUGAGAGGAAGGUGGGGAUGACGUCAAAUCAGCACGGCCCUUAUGUCCAGGGCUACACACGUGUUACAAUGGCCGGUACAGAGGGCAGCUACCUGGUGACAGGAUGCUAAUCUCGAAAACCGGUCUCAGUUCGGAUCGAAGUCUGCAACUCGACUUCGUGAAGCUGGAUUCGCUAGUAAUCGCGCAUCAGCCAUGGCGCGGUCGAAUACGUUCCCGGGCCUU